AAUUUCUGUUGACCGUGACAUGACUUCGUUUUAUUGUUGGCACCGUUGUAUGGUUUAGCCUGGUCAGUAUGUGUCAGUCCUGUAAAGAGAAGUAUGGCAGUUAAAGUGGAAUAAAUUGAUGGUUGCAACAUACAAGAAGCGGCCUGGAGAGUAUUUGAAGCACGCGUCUGACAGUCGAAAUUCACCGAGUUAACCCAGUGCGGUCCUCUACAACAUCGUUAGUUUGCCGCACAGUUAUCGUCAACAGAAACUGACAGUUUGAAUGAGCGGCUUAUUGGAAAGGCAAGUCUGGAUUUUUCGCUUCUGCUUGGAACAGGUUGGAAACGGUAAUGGCGCAUGGAGCGCAGCGUCAUCAGUUAAUUGAAUGAGAUUCCUUCACUGCAGCUCAAUCAAGUCCGCUGGAGCUGAGAUAUCAACAGAGUAGCUGCAACUUCGACCUGAAGGCUUUUAAGUGGUCAAACAGCUCAGUGAUGAUCUCUUCCUUUCCUUGCAGCUGAAUAUUCAGGAUGUUGAGCAGAAACUCCGCGAUGACAUUUGAAGACAUCCCCGCGGCUCAGCCAGCUCACCUCCUCCAAAAGGGCCCUGAAUUGGCUGAGCAGAGCGAGUUGCAUAGCUGCCUGGCAGCGCAGCUGCACUUCAUCAGGACCUCAUCAGCUGAAGCUUAAAAGGAGCGGGUGGCUGAUCAGUUGACACCUCAGUGUCUUACUAUGUGGUUGCCUACCUGCCACGAACCGGAUCACUUCGGCCGAGAACCAAAUCCUCAGAUCUUUGCUAAGCUGAUCAGAUCCUACCAUCCAGCUACCCCCAAGGCUGGGAUCCGCUAAAGUCCUGCCCGCCCUCAGCCAACAAGCUGCUAACGAAUUCCAAGUACCUCAUUGAUCUUUGACCAUUUCCCUCCCGGAGGGAUCCUGCACCAGCCCGAUUAAGCCUUCUCAAGAUCUUUGCUCCUUUUGAAUCCUACGCUCACCAUCAACCCUUCCUUCUGCAGUAAUACCUGCCCAAACCCUGACUACUUACCUGAAUCUGAACCUGUCAAUAAAUCUAGUUAAACUGCC